rnacentral:rRNA from 1 species
AUUGAACGCUAGCGGGAUGCCUUACACAUGCAAGUCGAGCGGUGUGGCGAAAGGGUGCGUAAUGUAUCGGAACGUGCUCAGUAGCGGGGGAUAAAUACGCACAAGCGUAGCUAAUACUGCAUACUAUUGUAGCGGCCGAUAUAGGAUUAGCUAGUGGGAGGGGUAACGGGUCAACAAGGCGACGACGCGUAGCUGGGUUGAGAGGGCGAAUAGCCACACUGGGACUGAGACACGGCCCACACUCCUACGGGAGGCAGCAGUGAGGAAUUGUGGACAAUGGGGGAAAACCUGAGCCAGCCACCCCGCGAGUGCGAUGAAGGCCUUCGGGUUGUAAAGCACUGUUGAUAGGAAAGAGGUACCGGCAGAAUAAGCACCGGCUAACUACGUGCCAGCAGCCGCGGUAAUAC